CGAGUGAAGUUGGCCGAAAAUCAACGCUUGAAUGAUUUAAAAUGACUUAAAACUACCGUAGAUGACGUGUCAGCGGGGUUUGGAGAGCACGCUAUGGAAACGUGACACAGAAACGCUUUCGUAACAGUUUAUUCUGACCAAUCAGAGCUCUCCAUUCAUGCCCGUGUAUUCCUGUGGGAGGAGAUAUGUUGAUAGAGAAAGGACGCCUUGCAUGGUUGACACGGUAUUACUAUCAAUUUAUAGUCCAUGUUUAACGUUUUGUUGAGUAUUUUUUAACUUUAACUAGUCUAACGUUGCGCUUGGAGACUACUCUGAAAGCUUUACGCGUUUCUGCUUUUGAGGAGCUUGUAAUUGUGUUACACUGCGCCUCAUGUGAUAUAGCAAAAUAUCGCUGAUGCACAGAAACUUAUUUUUUUCCGGGACAUAUCUUCGAGUAAUGUGUUCACUUAGUCGUUGCUAUUAAUCAAGCGAACUGCCGUGUUGCUAUUUUUUGUUGUUUUUUGCGUUUGCUGUGGAUAUCUGCAGUCCACACAUGCGGCCGCUGCUGGUCAGGAGACCCAACUUUGUGGAUACGUUCAUGGAGCAAGGUUAAGGCUCCACCAACCCUAUAAAUCCAGUCACCUGCAGAAAAACCGCUCGACUAUUCAGCUGCCAAAACAACGCAAGUGGGCGCCUUCUUGAUUUUUGUGGGAACCCCUUCCCUCUUUUUCACCCCACCUGGGAUAAUAAUUACCAGAUUGAGGCCGGCGACAUGGUGGUCAACACCAUCCACUGGUUUAGGAAGGGACUGCGGCUGCACGACAACCCCUCCCUGAGGGACUCCAUCCCGGGGUCGGAUACCCUGCGCUGCAUCUACAUCCUGGACCCCUGGUUCGCUGGGUCCUCCAACGUGGGCAUCAACAGGUGGAGGUUUUUGCUGCAGUGUUUAGAGGACUUGGAUGCCAGCCUGCGCAAACUCAACUCCCGCCUGUUUGUCAUUCGAGGUCAACCGACAGAUGUCUUCCCUCGUCUUUUUAAGGAAUGGCAGAUCACUCGUCUAUCAUAUGAGUAUGACUCUGAGCCUUUCGGCAAAGAACGUGAUUCUACUAUCAAAAAACUAGCCAGUGAGGCCGGAGUUGAAGUCAUAGUGCGAAUAUCACACACUCUCUAUGAUCUGGACAAGAUCAUAGAAGUGAAUGGUGGUCAGCCUCCUCUCACGUACAAGCGCUUCCAGUCUGUAAUCAACUGUAUGCGUGCUGUGGACCUGCCUGCAGAGACCAUCACAUCUGAGGUCAUUGAAACAUGUGCCACAUCCAUCGGUGAAGACCAUGACAAUAAGUUUGGAGUCCCCUCCCUGGAAGAGCUUGGUUUUGAGACAGAGGACCUGACCACAGCAGUUUGGCCAGGUGGAGAAACAGAAGCCCUCUUGAGACUAGAGAGACACCUGGAGAGGAAGGCAUGGGUGGCCAACUUUGAGCGCCCACGUAUGAACGCCAACUCCCUGCUGGCCAGUCCAACAGGCCUCGGCCCCUACCUGCGCUUCGGAUGUCUCUCUUGUCGGCUCUUCUAUCUCAAGCUCACAGACCUGUACAGGAAGGUCAAGAAGGACAGCACCCCACCGCUUCCCUUGUAUGGCCAGCUGUUGUGGAGAGAGUUCUUCUACACGGCCGCAACCAACAACUCCUGCUUUGACAAGAUGGAGGGUAACCCUAUAUGUGUCCAGAUCCCCUGGGACCGAAACCAAGAGGCACUGGCCAAGUGGGUAGAGGGACGGACAGGCUUUCCUUGGAUAGACGCUAUUAUGAUCCAGCUGAGGGAGGAGGGCUGGAUCCAUCCUUUGGCACGGCAUGCUGUGGCCUGCUUCCUCACCAGGGGAGACCUCUGGAUCCGCUGGGAGGAAGGCAUGAAGGUGUUUGAAGAGUUGCUGUUAGAUGCAGACUGGAGUGUCAAUGCUGGCAGCUGGAUGUGGCUCUCUUGCAGUUCUUUUUUCCAGAAUUUCUUCCACUGCUACUGCCCUGUGGGAUUUGGACGACGCACAGACCCCAGCGGUGACUACAUACGGCGUUAUUUGCCCAUAUUGAAGGGUUUUCCAGCCAAAUACAUCUAUGAUCCGUGGAAUGCCCCAGAAGAAGUACAGAAGAAAGCCAAGUGUAUCAUUGGAGUUCACUACCCCAAGCCCAUGGUGAACCACGCUGAGGCUAGCCGUGUCAAUAUUGAGCGGAUGAAGCAAAUUUACCAGCAGCUAUCCUGCUACAAAGGAUUGGGCCUACUGGCAACAGUACCAGCUAACUCCAACAAUGGGGCAAGUGGAAGUAAUGCCAGAGAAGUAAUCUCUGGGACUAGUCAAGGUUGGGGGAAGUCCACUGAAGACCCCUCAGUGCAGAUGGCAACGUCUCAGACAGACAGAGGACCAACCACGCACAAGCGGCGGUGUGAAGAAGCCCCACCCGAGAGCAACUUUAAAUCCUGGAAGCAGAGCACGUAGUUACCAAAGGCAGACUAAAGGGGUUCCUCAGUCAGUCUGUAUCAUCUGGAUAGCAUCUUCUCCUGCAGUGCCUUCAGCUAACAUGCAGUAAUAACUGUAACUAACAGCCAUAGAGGAAACAAAUUGGGGGGUGUGUACCCAGCUGUUACUACUGACUGUUUGUCUGAAGGACCCCCCUUAGUACAUGAUAUUUGUAAUUAGUUAAGUCAGUCAGCUGUUAACAUCGCUUGACGACCUGAUAAAACACAGUACACAUCUCAGGAACGAAAGAAGUAACCUUGCUGUAAAACCAGGAUAAAACAGGCAAAAAUAUUUCUGAGGACAAGGUCUUCACAUCAAGGUGUUGUCUUCCACUACAGUAAUGUUAAAGAGAUGAAACCACAAAUGUCAAUAAAAAUGGCUGGUUUCUACCCCGCCCCCUUCAAACAGUAAGUCAGGUCAGGACAUUAUGAGGUUGGUUGAUAAAUGUUAAUAAUACACUGUCCAGUAGUGUGUAAUUCAGUCAGCUGGGUGUAUAGCAAAGCAUCGGUUAUUGUACAUAGAAGGUGAGCUGAAAGACGGGGCUGACCCUAACCCUUCAACCCUCAUACCCACUGUCAACACACUGGCAUCAGAAGACCAGGGGGGUUUUCCAGGUAGGAGGUUCAACAAACUCUGAGUCUAACCCUGAACUCUGAGUUGACUUACUCUGAGAUGGGAAACUCUGAGGAUCCGGUUCCAGAACAGCUGAUCUGAAUUAGUUCAAUCAAUUCUGAGUAUGCUCACCUUGAGUUUGGCGUGUGUGUGACCACUAUAAAAAGCCAUCAUCAAUGGAGCCCCGAUACCUUGAUUCACCAUGGUAACUACUAAGAAAACAAGCUCAAGUUAGGUCACCUCACUGUAACUGGAGCUCCCCCUGCAGGCCUGUGGCGAAUAUGAACAUAUAUUUCACAAAAAGUAACACAGCUGCAGAUGUUAAGGAGAGAGAAGCGGCAUGGGAGAAAAUUGAAUACACCACUCCACUGACUUAACUUACCUCACUUAAAAUUGUAGCAUACAGGUGAAAAAGUGGUGUAACGUAUUUGGAAGCAGGUAAAAAUGAAAUAAAAAACAUAAAUCAGAAAAGUAAGGCACAUUUUGCUGGGCCAUAAUUGUACCUCGCUUUGAUUUUAUUCAUAGUUGACGUAGGCUAUUAAACAAAGUAAAUAUUAAUUCAGUGGCUAUUUCAACAUGUAGUAAUUUAAACCCCCAACAGAAAGCUGUUUAACACAUAUGUCCUCUCAUCUAAUAUCCUGCUUAGUAGAUUCACAUUUGACACUAUUUUAAUUAUACAUAUUGGAGUCAUUGA